CCUACGGGAGGCAGCAGUGAGGAAUAUUGGUCAAUGGACGGAAGUCUGAACCAGCCAUGCCGCGUGCAGGAAGACGGCUCUAUGAGUUGUAAACUGCUUUUGUACAAGGGUAAACCUGAAUACGUGUAUUCAGCUGAAAGUACUGUACGAAUAAGGAUCGGCUAACUCCGUGCCAGCAGCCGCGGUAAUACGGAGGAUCCAAGCGUUAUCCGGAUUUAUUGGGGUUAAAGGGUGCGUAGGCGGAUUGAUAAGUUAGAGGUGAAAUGUCCGAGCUUAACUCGGGAACUGCCUCUAAUACUGUUGAUCUAGAGAGUAGAUGCGGUAGGCGGAAUGUAUGGUGUAGCGGUGAAAGGCUUAGAGAUCAUACAGAACACCGAUUGCGAAGGCAGCUUACCAAUCUAUAUCUGACGUUGAGGCACGAAAGCGUGGGGAGCAAACAGGAUUAGAUACCCCAGUAGUC
rnacentral:rRNA from 1 species